rnacentral:rRNA from 1 species
ACGAACGCUGGCGGCGUGCCUAAUACAUACAAGUAGAACGCUGAAGGAGGAGCUUGCUUCUCUGGAUGAGUUGCGAACGGGUGAGUAACGCGUAGGUAACCUGCCUGGUAGCGGGGGAUAACUAUUGGAAACGAUAGCUAAUACCGCAUAACAGUAGAUAUCGCAUGAUAUCUACUUGAAAGGUGCAAUUGCAUCACUACCAGAUGGACCUGCGUUGUAUUAGCUAGUUGGUGAGGUAACGGCUCACCAAGGCGACGAUACAUAGCCGACCUGAGAGGGUGAUCGGCCACACUGGGACUGAGACACGGCCCAGACUCCUACGGGAGGCAGCAGUAGGGAAUCUUCGGCAAUGGACGGAAGUCUGACCGAGCAACGCCGCGUGAGUGAAGAAGGUUUUCGGAUCGUAAAGCUCUGUUGUAAGAGAAGAACGAGUGUGAGAGUGGAAAGUUCACACUGUGACGGUAUCUUACCAGAAAGGGACGGCUAACUACGUG